rnacentral:tRNA from 1 species
GAGCUCAAUUGGUGUAGUGGGAACUGCUAAUUACCCACGACUACAGUUCAAUUCUGUAGUUUGCUCA